UACGUAGGUGGCAAGCGUUGUCCGGAUUUACUGGGCGUAAAGAGCGCGCAGGCGGUCGUCCAAGUCGCGUGUGAAAGCCCCCGGCUCAACUGGGGAGGGUCACGCGAUACUGGUCGACUCGAAGGCAGGAGAGGGUAGUGGAAUUCCCGGUGUAGUGGUGAAAUGCGUAGAUAUCGGGAGGAACACCAACGGCGAAAGCACUCUGCUGGGCCGACACUGACACUGAGAGACGAAAGCUAGGGGAGCGAAUGGG
rnacentral:rRNA from 1 species